rnacentral:rRNA from 1 species
AGAAUCUUCCGCAAUGGGCGCAAGCCUGACGGAGCGACGCCGCGUGGAGGACGAAGGCCCUAGGGUUGUAAACUCCUGUCACGGGUUAUGAAUGGCGUAUUUCGAACAGAGAUGCGUUUGACGUAAGCCCGAGAGGCAGCACCGGCCACCUCCGUGCCAGCAGCCGCGGUAAUACCGAGGGUGCGAAGGUUGUUCGGAAUCACUGGGCAUAAAGCGCACGUAGGCGGCGACGCAAGUGUGGAGUGAAAUCCCACGGCUCACCCGUGGAAUUGCUUUGCAAACUGCGUUGCUAGAGGAUGGUAGGGGAGAGCGGAACUCCUGGUGGAGCGGUGAAAUGCGUAGAUAUCAGGAGGAACACCGGUGGCGAAGGCGGCUCUCUGGUCCAUAUCUGACGCUGAGGUGCGAAAGCCAGGGUAGCGAA